rnacentral:lncRNA from 1 species
GAGACAUAUGGUUUAUGCAUCGAAAUCCAGUAGGAAGCGUCCACUAGCUUCUCCGAGUUUACAGUUUCUUUCUCAUCGUCAUUUAUUUUGGCAAUGAAAUCUUUUAUUCCUCGACGAUAAUUUUUAGCAUUGUGGCAGGCCCUAUUGCAUAAUUGACAAGAUACAUAUGCUCCUCUUUUUGAUGUUUUCGUAUUUGUCGACGAUCGGAUAAGAUAACUUAUCUUCCCAUCGAUCUCCGAGCACCUUGUAAGUAAAUCUGCAAUCGAGUAUCGACGAGGCACAAAAC